GGCCUCGUGGUCUCGUGGUAUGAUUCCUCGCUUCGCGGUGCGAGAGGUUCCGGGUUCGAUUCCACGUGAGGCCC